GAAUCAGCGGUAUGGCUCUUCUCAUAUUGGCGCUACUGCAAAGGAUAUUUCUAAUGUCGUCACUGAUGCUGCUUCUGGUGUGGUUGAUAUUUUUCAUGGUAUUGAUAAAGCUGUUGCCGAUACUUGGAACAAUUUCUGGAAAGACGGUAAAGCUGAUGGUAUUGGCUCUAAUUUGUCUAGGAAAUAACCGUCAGGA
rnacentral:rRNA from 1 species